rnacentral:lncRNA from 1 species
UGAGAUUACCCUUAGAGGGUAGGUUGCUGUUGCUCGUGAGAUGAUCACGCUCACAUUGCCUGUCUGCGCUUGGUGGGGUCGCUCCCCCCAGGUUGUGCGCUCCGGAGAUUGGUCACUAGAGAGGCAGCCCUGCUUGCUGCUCGGAUAGCCGCUUGUUAUCCGCAGGCGUACUCGGGGAUAGUCCAGCUAGGCAUCCCUCGGAGAUUGAUAUGUGAGCCUUGCUUGUGAACCACGAGUUCACCUUGAGAUUGGGUUACCUAUUGAGCCAUACCCAUUGUUGUUGUUCAUGAUAGCUUGCUUCCAUAGUUGUUGUUGUUGAUCAUAGUUGCCUUUGGCUUACCGGCUGAUUGGGUGGUCUAAUGAAUAGCCCUAUUGAUGAACCUAGUGGUAUGGUAGUUAACCUUCACUAGACUUACCUUGAUAGCGAGCAUAGUCGCUUGGUAGUUGGUUUAGCGGAUUUGCCUAUAUACAGUGAGUGAUAUACUAUUCCUUCACCUAUGAGAUUUGAGUACCUAUUGAGUCAUACUCAUUAUUGUUGUUCAUGAUAGCUUGCUUCCAUAGUUGUUGUUGUUGUUCACCUAUGAGAUUUGAGUGGAGUAGCCCUGUACCUAGUAGGUCGAGAUGUGAGUCGGGCAAAGUGCGGGGUAGCCUUUGCCUAGGACCUUGAGAUGUGAGUCGGGCAAAGUGCGGGGUAGCCUUUGCCUAGGACCUUGAGAUGUGAGUCGGGCGAGGGGCGGGGUAGCUCUUUGCCUGGGACUCACGAGAUUGGGUCAGACCUUUGAGAUAUGAGUCGAGUGAGUCAAGAAUGAGGUAGCUUUUCACCUACUAGAUUUGAGAUCUUAGGCAAAGUAGCCUAGUGGAAUGGGCAAUAACGUGAAUAGCAUAAGUGAAUUGCAUUCAUACCAUGAUUAGACAUAGUGCAUUGCAUAACUAUGUUAUAGUUGUAUUCAUUUCACUGUUGAGGCAUACUAGCAUGAUGGUAGGUUAUUGCUAGAUGAUGUUCCAUGCAUACUUUGCAUUUGAUGGCAUAGUAGAUAUAGUAGUAGUAUUUCCAUAUAUCUUUCUAUCUAUCUAUCUGUGCCAGCUUGGACCUAGUGGGAAGAUCGGCGGAGUCGGCGGCCGAACCCACUGGGAACUAUAUUUAUAUAGUUCUCACCCCGUGUGGUUUUGGGGUACAGGUACACACGAGAGCGGAUCGGCAGAGGAUUGCGUUAUGGGCUUAGCGCCCUAGUGCUAGUUGAUAGUUUACUUUCCUAUUUUGCAUUAGAGUUACCCUAUACAUGUAUUGAGAGUAGAUGAUGUAUAGGAUGUGAGGUAUUUUGAGAUAAAUGUAAACUAAUGUUUAUCUUUUGAAGAAUGUAAGCUUAUAUUCAUAGUUUGGGAAAGAAUGCAAGUUGUAAUUAAAUGUAUCGAGCUGAAUGGUUGUAAUAGAAUAGUUAAGUAUCUCUCUUUUGUUUCACUUGUAUGUCUUCUACUUGUGACGCUUGCUCUUGUAUUGUUCAGCACUGUUUGUGCUCUCGCUGUUGUUGCAUGAUCAUGUAUGUAUUCAAGUUGAUUUCCUGGGGACUUGUUGUACAUGAUCUCGUUGUUUAGCCUUGGGCGGACAGGGGAGGUGCUGUCCGUUCGGCCUCACGCCCGCCGCCCUCGAACCGGACCAAAUUGGUACCGUUUUCGGGUCGUGCGGUUAGGGCGUGACAGCUACUAUGCCCAAUCAUAAAUAUAUGAAUGCAUGUACAAGGAAAUAGAUAAACAACUAACCCAUUAUCAUGUCCAAAGGUAAAGCUAUUUACUCGUUCAUCAAUCUCAUUUACUUGUUUCUUAAUCUCGUGGCUUCCCUGAAGGAGCCUACUGCUCACUAGCCAUCUCGAAGGUAGGGAGGGUCAACUCGCACUACGAAC